GUGGGUAUAGCUCAGUGGUAGAGUGUGUGCUUAGCACGCCUGAGGUCCUGGGUUUAAUCCCCAGUACCUCCA
rnacentral:tRNA from 1 species